rnacentral:lncRNA from 1 species
CCCAGGCUGGUGGGGCAGGGCUGGCCACCGGGGGAAGCGGAAGUAGGAGGGAAGUGACCCUCUGGCCACCCCAACAGCACUAUCCUGGAGAGGGCCAAAGAGGCGGGGGCAGGACGGGCUGAGAGGAUGGGGAGGGAGGGAAGGCCAAGACUUCCUGCAGAAAAAAGCACACACAAACAUCAUACGGGCAAGGGCAUUUCACAACGGAGCUCCUGGAAGGCAGGGGCUGAUCUGGGAGUCCCAGCAGGCCUGGCGAAGCUCAGACCCAAGUUUCCCCACUAGAUGUCUAGUGCAGCACCUGAUGCAUCAAAGGUAAAGCAGGAACUGCUGGUUAUUCACACCACUGAGACUUUCCUCCUGAUAUCUUAUCCACCCUUGGCCACUUUAUAAGCAUCCUGAGGGCAGAGAGCAUAGCAACUUGUCCAGUGUGGGGUCAGGGAACCAGCUUGGAGAAUACCCAUUUGUGGACUGACUUUCUAAACAACAUCUCCCUACCUUCGCUGUCGGGGGUACAGCCCAAGGGGUUGCAUCUGCUGACAGUGUCCCAAAGGCGGUGCUAAGCUCCAUUUUCACCCUACUCCAUCCAUACUCCAGGGUCCCUGUGGACAGGGCGAUCUCGGUCCUGCGCCCACAGCUCUCCCACACUGUCCACCGAAGUCCUGCCUGUCUUUGCAACCUGCGUGCCAGGCUUAACUGCUGCUACCUGGCAGUCAGCGCAAGGCCAAUUCACACCGUGGCUGGGAGUGGGAGAGACCCACUGGGCACAGCUGCAGGGAGGGAGUGCUAAGGAGGCCAAGGGCUGCAGGUGCAGUGGGGCUGAGCUGAGAGGAAUGUUUCCC